rnacentral:rRNA from 1 species
CCUACGGGGGGCUGCAGUGGGGAAUAUUGGGCAAUGGGCGAAAGCCUGACCCAGCAACGCCGCGUGAAGGAAGAAGGUCUUCGGAUUGUAAACUUCUGUUAUAGGGGAAAAAGAAAGUGAUGGUACCCUAUGAGAAAGCCAUGGCAAACUACGUGCCAGCAGCCGCGGUAAAACGUAGGUGGCAAGCGUUAUCCGGAAUUACUGGGCGUAAAGAGAGUGUAGGUGGUUAUAUAAGUCACAUGUGAAAUACCAAGGCUUAACUUUGGAAGAGCAUGUGAUACUGUGUAACUAGAGUGCAGGAGAGGUGAGUGGAAUUCCUAGUGUAGCGGUAGAAUGCGUAGAGAUUAGGAAGAACACCGGAGGCGAAGGCGACUCACUGGACUGUAACUGACACUGAGACUCGAAAGCGUGGGGAGCAAACAGGAUUAGAUACCCCAGUAGUC